rnacentral:rRNA from 1 species
UACGUAGGGUGCAAGCGUUGUCCGGAAUUAUUGGGCGUAAAGAGCUCGUAGGCGGUCUGUCGCGUCGGACGUGAAAAUCCAGGGCUCAACCCUGGACCUGCGUUCGAUACGGGCAGACUAGAGUUCGGUAGGGGAGACUGGGAUUCCUGGUGUAGCGGUGAAAUGCGCAGAUAUCAGGAGGAACACCGGUGGCGAAGGCAGCCCCCUGGGCUUAAAUUGACGCUGAGGCACGAAAGCGUGGGGAGCAAACAGG